GGAAAAGUGUCCGAGAGGCCGAAGGAGCACGAUUGGAAAUCGUGUAGGCGUCACAAGCGUCUCGAGGGUUCGAAUCCCUCUUUUUCCG
rnacentral:tRNA from 1 species